rnacentral:rRNA from 1 species
AUUGAACGCUGGCGGCAUGCCUUACACAUGCAAGUCGAACGGCAGCACGGGAGCAAUCCUGGUGGCGAGUGGCGAACGGGUGAGUAAUACAUCGGAACGUGCCCAAUCGUGGGGGAUAACGCAGCGAAAGCUGUGCUAAUACCGCAUACGAUCUACGGAUGAAAGCAGGGGAUCGCAUGACCUUGCGCGAAUGGAGCGGCCGAUGGCAGAUUAGGUAGUCGGUGAGGUAAAGGCUCACCAAGCCGUCGAUCUGUAGCUGGUCUGAGAGGACGACCAGCCACACUGGGACUGAGACACGGCCCAGACUCCUACGGGAGGCAGCAGUGGGGAAUUUUGGACAAUGGGCGAAAGCCUGAUCCAGCCAUGCCGCGUGCAGGAUGAAGGCCUUCGGGUUGUAAACUGCUUUUGUACGGAACGAAACGGCCUUCUCUAAUAAAGAGGGCUAAUGACGGUACCGUAAGAAUAAGCACCGGCUAACUACGUGCCAGCAGCCGCGGUAAUACGUAGGGUGCAAGCGUUAAUCGGAAUUACUGGGCGUAAAGCGUGCGCAGGCGGUUAUGUAAGACAGUUGUGAAAUCCCCGGGCUCAACCUGGGAACUGCAUCUGUGACUGCAUAGCUAGAGUACGGUAGAGGGGGAUGGAAUUCCGCGUGUAGCAGUGAAAUGCGUAGAUAUGCGGAGGAACACCGAUGGCGAAGGCAAUCCCCUGGACCUGUACUGACGCUCAUGCACGAAAGCGUGGGGAGCAAACAGG